UACGGAGGAUGCGAGCGUUAUCCGGAUUUAUUGGGUUUAAAGGGUGCGUAGGCGGAGUGUCAAGUCAGCGGUAAAAUUUCGGGGCUCAACCCCGUCGUGCCGUUGAAGCUGACGCCCUUGAGUGAGUGAGAAGUAAGCGGAAUGCGUGGUGUAGCGGUGAAAUGCAUAGAUAUCACGCAGAACGCCGAUUGCGAAGGCAGCUUACCGGCGCUCAACUGACGCUGAGGCACGAAAGUGCGGGUAUCGAACAGG
rnacentral:rRNA from 1 species